rnacentral:lncRNA from 1 species
GUGAACUGUUUGGAUAUGCUUAAACUCAGAAUCAUUAUAUUUUUAUACAAUGUAGGUGCCCACUAUAUACAGGUUUUGGAUGAGUUUGGCUCUCAUUGAAACUACUCUGUUGCCAUGGAAACUACACCAAAAAUUCCAAAAAUCUCAAAGUGCUCCAAAUGUCAUGAAACUUCACAGUAACGAUGAGCAACAUUAGAAGAUGUGGCAUUUGGAGUUGGAAUUUCCAAAAAAGCUGAGUUACCAUGGAAACAAUGCAGAAAGGUGAAAAAUUUCAAAAAAAAAUGAAUAUGCUGCAAACUGGAUGAAACUUUACAGGAAUAGUUACUAUCAUAAGCAGAGUUGCAUUUUGAAGUUGGAAUUUUCAAAAUGGCCGCCGUAACCAUGGAAACAGCAAAAAUAUCAAAAAUUUCAAAAUGCUUCAAACUUAAUGAAACUUUGCAAAAAUGUUACUAGACAUCUGUAGAUGCAC